GGGUCUGGUAGAGCUGAUGGGAGGACGGAGGAGGAGGGGGCAGAGAAGGCGGUUUGGCCUCAUUUUGCCUUCCUGCGCAUCUUUAUUUAUGCAAUACCGCCCCCUCAUGGUUAGGGUUGGGAACGGCGUCAAGGAUGGACCUACUCAUACGAACGACGCAAGUCCGCAGGGACCAAAUCAAGAGAGGACACAAGGUGUGACUACAUCUUAUAGAACAAGAGAUGAGAAGUCGAAGUAGCCAAAUUUCAGAAUGCUGUGAAUGUUAAAUUGCACCACAAGGAUUUGUUCAGCAAAAUUCAGCGGCUGGAAACGCUACUGGACAAACAACUGAGUUCCGUUAUUAAAUUACAUGGAAAGAAAGAGAUGGAGAGGAAACCUAUACACUGAAAAAGACUUAGAAGACAUAUCAGCCAAUCACAAUGUGUGGAAUUUAUUUGGAAUU